rnacentral:rRNA from 1 species
UACGGAGGGUGCGAGCGUUGUCCGGAAUCACUGGGCGUAAAGGGCGCGUAGGCGGCGCGGGAAGUCAUCGGUGAAAGUUCAGGGCUCAACUCUGAAUCGGCCGGUGAUACUCUCGUGCUUGAGCACUGUAGAGGCAGGUGGAAUUCCGGGUGUAGCGGUGGAAUGCGUAGAGAUCCGGAAGAACACCGGUGGCGAAGGCGGCCUGCUGGGCAGUAGCUGGACGCUGAGGCGCGACAGCGUGGGGGAGCAAACAGG